rnacentral:snRNA from 1 species
AGACAUACCUGGUACCAGGGCCUCUUUGAGCACCGAGGACGAGCCCCCAGGGUGAGGUGCGGGAAUUUCACUGCGCUCGCGUUCACCCCUGCCACUACCCCUAACUUGGGCAGAUGGGGCAUGCAAAUCGC